GGAUGAGAGGACGAUCUGGCUGUGACAUCUGUUACCCCAUUGAUCUCCAGGGCUGGUGUCUCCAUCCUCCUCCACCGCUCCUUGCAUGCAUGCCUCUCCCAAAGCUGGGCACUCCUUGAAGAGGAAAGAGGACGACCUUGCCUGAACAGAGGACUGGUUUUCCAUCAAGGGCACAUGAGCAGCGUCUCGACUAGAACCCCAAACAAUCUCUCAAGGAAUAAAUAUUUUUAAAAAAAGAUAAUUUCUUUAAAAGAGAGAGAGAGAGAGAGAGAGACAUUCU
rnacentral:snRNA from 1 species